rnacentral:lncRNA from 1 species
GAAGAGACAAGUCCGCAGUAGGAGCAGGGUCAGGUGCAGGACGUGAAUCAGCAGGGCCUGAUGCUGGGUGCGGACGACGAUGAUAUGUCAAAAGUGGUGUUCCUGUGACAGGGAGUCUAGGAGGAUCCAUACUAGAUUCCUCAACUGAGUGAAUGGGUAAGACUUCAGUAGUGGAAGGUAAAGGACAAUCUAUAGUAGGCUCCGUAAAGGUCGGUAUAGGUAACAUCGUAGAUAUAUCAGGGAGGUCAGAAUGGUUAGAAGGGGUAAAGAAAGGUAAGAAUCUAUAGUAGGCUCCGUAAAGGUCGGUACAGGUAAGAUAGCAGAUAUAUUUGGGAGGUCAGAAUGGUCAGAAGGGGUAAAGAAAGGUUUAGACUCAAAAAAUG